UACGUAGGGGGCAAGCGUUGUCCGGAAUCAUUGGGCGUAAAGAGCGUGUAGGCGGCCCGGUAAGUCCGCUGUGAAAGUCCAGGGCUCAACCCUGGAAUGCCAGUGGAAACUGUCGGGCUGGAGUCCGGAAGAGGCGAGUGGAAUUCCUGGUGUAGCGGUGAAAUGCGCAGAUAUCAGGAGGAACACCAAUGGCGAAGGCAGCUCGCUGGGACGGUACUGACGCUGAGACGCGAAAGCGUGGGGAGCAAACAGG
rnacentral:rRNA from 1 species